rnacentral:misc_RNA from 1 species
AACGCACAUUGCGCCCGCCAGUAUUCUGGCGGGCAUGCCUGUUCGAGCGUCAUUUCAACCCUCAAGCUCUGCUUGGUGUUGGGGAUCGGCGUAGCGUCCUCGCGGCGCUGCCGUCCCCUAAAUCUAGUGGCGGUCCUGCCGUAGAUACCUCUGCGUAGUAGUUUUCUCCUCGCUCUGGAAUCUCGGCGGUGCCCUGCCGUUAAACCCCCAACUUCUGAAAGGUUGACCUCGAAUCAGGUAGGAAUACCCGCUGAACUUAA